ACCAUCAAGUGAUGAAAUUUGGAAUAAUCUUAGGACACCUUCCUACACAGUUUGCCAAAGCUGUGGAUGAGAACAAAAAUCCAUUCUGAUGUUGAU